UUUUAUUUCCUUUAUCAUCUUUUUGACAUUGAAUUGAUAUCACUGACUAAUUUACUGUUUUACAGAAUCUACUACCAAUGUUGUAGCACAAAUGAACACCAAACAACCACACAGCAGAUAGGAACAGAGAACUUGCUACACAAGCUGUAAUGAGGAGAAGAAACGCACAAUUACAAUAUCAAUUUGAGGAAACUUAGGGAAUCAUUAAUAGUAAUGAUUCAGAAUUUAUUGAUGACCUUCAACACCCAACUCAAUUCCAUUGGCAAUCUGUUAUGCCAAUCACCAGCCAUGUUUGCCACAUCAAACGUUGAAAAAGUGUUGACAAUAUCUGAUUCAAAUGAAGCUGAAGAUAAAUAAACAACAACAAAAGUUGGCUCAUGGCGUCAGAAGAAGAUAAAUACCAAAAUAAUGUUGGUCCUUGACAGCCAUUCACGUUCCAGUUCACUAUAUUAUUUAUUAUG